UGGUAUCUUUAAACUGGAGGCACAAAAGACUUAGAAUCUAUUAAUGCCUUUUCAUAUUUCCGAACAGAAAGACAUCAGCUGUUGCUUCUGUGUUCUACAGGGAGAGGCGGGACAUGUGUGGGACCCUGUGGCUGCAUUGUGAACGAGGAGCUGUUUAUAUUCGGCGGCUGCUGUGAUGAUGGACAGACUAAUGAACUUUACUCCGUCGACCUGCAGGACGAGAGGUUCAGCUGGAGGAGAGUGACGCUUCGGUCCGGAUCGCUGCCGUCGCCACGAGAUAAACUCUCCUGCUGGGUUCAUGAAGGAAGAAUCAUCUACUUUGGUGGAUAUGGCCACAAACCGCUGAGUGCAAUCCACGAUCCGAAGAGCUUCAUUGUGGA